AAAAGGCGAGGUCGGCUGUCUGGCGCUGUCAGUCCUCCAGAAAACAUAUCGCCUCGCUGAUCACCCACGCUAUACGCCGAAAACAUGAGGGAGUUAAUUCUUUUAGUCAUUGUUUCAGGAAUCCUCUUUUCCCAGAGCCCGUCUCUGGUCUAUACGGCACUGCCAGCAAUGAUUGGACAACAAUCUGGACAACCGAACGUAUUCAUGCAGUUGCUCAAUAACCCGAUCAGACUGUGCCAGGAGACUGAAAACAUGAGGCUUAUACCAUGCGCCGGGAAUAACAUCUGUAAUAUGGUAUCAAUGAUGCAGUACAGAAUGCCAAAUUUACUGAAAUGCAGUCCAACGGGUGUCGGAUGUUGUCUUAAGGAUUACCUAUCGCUACAUAUCUCCAAACAGUUAGGAUAAACAGAUUUAAUUAAAAUUGAAGGUUGGACUAAACAGAAGUGGGAUUGGAAUUGACAUAACGAGAGACAACAUUCGGAUGUUAAGAAAUUAAACUUAUUCGUUUUCAAUUGAUCUAAAAAAACAAA